rnacentral:rRNA from 1 species
CGACGCCGCCCGGAUACUACGAGCACUAGCUUAAAACCCAAAGGACCUGACGGUGUCUUAGAUCCCCCUAGAGGAGCCUGUUCUAGAACCGAUUACCCUCGUUAAACCUCACCGCUUCUAGCCCCACCAGCCUAUAUACCGCCGUCGUAAGCUUACCCUGUGAAGGAAAAAAAGUAAGCGAGAUGGGCACAACCCAAUACGUCAGGUCGAGGUGUAGCAUAUGAAGCGGGAAGAAAUGGGCUACAUUCUCUACCACAGAGCAUUACGGAUGCGCAACAUGAAACAAGUGCCAGAAGGAGGAUUUAGUAGUAAAAAGGAAGCAGAGUGUCCUUUUGAAAACGGCUCUAAGAUGCGUACACAC